CGGAGGGUGCAAGCGUUGUCCGGAUUUAUUGGGUUUAAAGGGUGCGUAGGCGGCUUUUUAAGUCAGCGGUGAAAGACAACAGCUCAACUGUUGCAGUGCCAUUGAUACUGAAGAGCUUGAGUACAGAUGAGGUAGGCGGAAUUUAUGGUGUAGCGGUGAAAUGCAUAGAUACCAUAAGAACACCUAUUGCGAAGGCAGCUUACUAAGCUGUAACUGACGCUGAGGCACGAAAGUGUGGGGAUCAAACAGGAUUAGAUACCCUGGUAGUCCACACUGUAAACGAUGAUCACUCGAUGUGUGCGAUAGACAGUACGCGUCCAAGCGAAAGCGUUAAGUGAUCCACCUGGGGAGUACGCUCGCAAGAGUG
rnacentral:rRNA from 1 species